GAAUGAGUGAAUUCAAUUUACAAUACUUCUCCGGUUAGAGACACAUCAUGAUCCUAUAAAUUGAAAACAUGAUAAACAUUUUAUGAUUUUUUUUCCUCCUUUUUUUUUAUAGAAAAGGUACGAAAGAUUACAUGAUCUUUUGAUAUCAAAUUCACAAUGAAAUUUCUAGAACGAAAUACGUAUUAAACGUAACAAAAUUGUUUUGUAAAUAUGAAAAAUUGCAAUUAACUUUGAGGUAGACAUUUUGAAUUUUAUUCAUUCAUAAAUACCCGAUUUAGUUUGAUUGUUAAAAUUUGCACUAAUUUACAGAUAAAAUACUUAAAGGUUUAUGUAUCGUUUCAAAGUGAUGGUCAAUGAAAUAUGUGACUACUAUUAAACCAAGUGUGUUUCAUGCAUUGUUUACCUAACAAUCAACAAGUAGCAGCAAUUCAAUAUUUAAUUUUAUUUUUUAGUUUUUCCCUAAUUUAUUUUCGAUACAAUGAAAACUCUGAUUUCAUAAGAUAUAUAAAAUUUGGUAGUUAGAAUUGUAUUCCGAGCUACCACGUUUUUUUGACAGUUAAAGUAAACGUAAGUUACGCAAGGUAAUUAUACUUAAUUAUAAAAACUAUGGUAUCAAGUUUAUUCGAUCGAUCAUAAAUUUCUAAAAUUUAAUUCCAUAAUCAAUAAAAAACGCAAAUAAAAUAUAUUAAUAAAAUAUGCAAAACUCUAAUUAAAUAUAUUGUUACUACAUAAAUAUUCUUUAUCAUAUAUAUAAUAUAUUUUCAAAUCGUGUAUUUUAAUUUCUAAUUUUUAUCUUUAGUAAAUAAAAUAUGUUUUUAUUUCGGUUUGUAUAAAUUAUUAGUCAAGCUCCCAAAUUAUCGACUGGUAGAACAUCAGUGCAAUUCAAAGAAUAUUUUAUUUCUGAAUCACUUUUAAAUUUACAUGUUAACAUGAUUCUUUUAUUCAUAUUUCAUAUAAAUUAUAUAUAUUAUAUUGAUUAAUUAUAUUAUAUAUAAUUUAAUAUACAUAUUAGAUAUAUUAUAUAUAAUUAUAAUAUUUACAUUUAAUAUAUAUAUAUUAUUAAGGUAUUCAAUUAAAAUUAAUCGAAGCGUGCUUUGGCGAAUCUCUUACGAUGUUAUAUCGUACGUAACGAAUUUGUAUCGAUUUAAAACCGUCAAAUAGCGAAAUCCUAAUGUUGAAACGAUUUGUGCGACUGAAGAAUAAAAUCCAGCAUUUCCAAGUUUGCUUUUUAGUAUACUUGUGCAUAUUAGAUUUUUGAAAGGAGGAAUUUUGCGACGUACGUUCAAAUAUUUGUCUCGCUAGUCAGAAAUACGUGAUCGUUAUUCUGGUAGCUUCGAAGUUAAAAAAGUCGACUUUCUCAAUUUUUCUUCGAUGCCAUUUGAAUAUUAAUCGUGUUGAAUACGAUUUAACGUAUAAUUCAACGUAUUCGAGUAUUUAUUAUUUCUACGUACUUUAUUUGAACAAAUACAAUGUGUGAAAUUGAAAUUUGUGUGCUAUCAAAAAAUGUAAACUAGCAAAACCAUAAUUAUAUCUUCUCACUUUAAUCGCAUUUUUCUCAGUGUCCUGAAGGUCUAGUUUAGACAAGUUCUGUGACCGGAUUUGAAUACAGUGUUAAAAUCUACAGGGAAUAAUGCAUAACAAGUUCAGGGAAAUAUUCAAUCAUACAUAGAUAGUAAUAAUAGUUGUUUUUAUAAAAUGUCAACUUGAACGUAAGUUUUCAAGGUCAAAACUUGUUAACGAUGUUUUCUCUAUAUUUGUCUCUUAUUCUAUUUUCUCGUUCUCUUAUUUACUCUUAGCUUUAAUCUGAAACAAAACUCAUCACUCUACCUCAUUCGAAUAGGAAUUUCCACGAUCUUGACACAAAAAUGAGCAUUUUGUUCCACUGCGCGCUAGAUAUCAAACUAUUCUAUUUGCAGUUAAUAGCCUGUUCGAGGAGAUAUGUUCAAUAUAACACGAAACUCGUACUUACAUGUGUUAGGAAUAAAAUAAUCAAUCGAAGUGAAGAUCAUAUGGAUAUGCCGAUUGAUAACGUAGAUUAUCUAUAUUCUGUAUGUCAAUAUCUUAUUUAAUUAGAAACGAUGUAUUGUGCAAAAAUCUUAAUGAUUUAUGAUUUUAUAAGGAAAAUCAUAUUUUUUAGAAAAUAUUUCCAUACAGUGUUAUAUAGAAAUGCAUUUUUAUAUUUUAUUAUGUUAUUUAUUUAUAUUAUAUAGUUUAUUUCGUUAGUAAGGCAAAGAUUUUUGCAUAAAUAUGUGUAAUUAUUCUUCAUUGAAAUUUUCCUUCUUUAGAAAACUAAUCAUCCUAGCCUAUCGGAGGCCGUUCACCGUACGCAUGUCACGAUAAUACGUGGAUCUCCUUUGUUUGGAGAACAGACAAAUCGGUGGCUCUACAGUUUCGCAUAACGAACACACCGAAUGAAUAACAUGAAAUACUAUUCAAUUGUCGGUCACAUCGUCUAGAUUUUUUGACAUGGCUCGAAUGACGUUACCAAAAUAUUUUUAAAAGUGAAUAUUAAGCAAUAUCCCAUACAAAAGUAUUUGAUAACAAGUUUGCUAAUAAAAGUGGUUAAACUGUUGUAUUAAAUGAAGUACAUAUCAUUAGCAAACGAAAAACAAACAUUCUUUAUGUGUUAUAUAAUCGUCAGAUCAAGCUAUAAAUAAUAAAAUAUAGAGGCAUUUUACGAAACAUCUCAAUGGAUAAUCUUAUGCAUUCCCUACACUAUUUGAAUACUCGCAAAGAUAAAAAUUUAUCGCAAUACGUAUACUAUUUAUAAAAUGUGCGAUGAAUGCUUUCCAAGAUGUUCUUUUAGUUUCUUUUACAAUAAUCUUACUGUGAUUAUAUAUGCUGGAAUAUGCAUUAUUAAUGCAUUAAUGAGAACGAUGACGUUUCACCUUAUUUCUUUAUAUAUAGGUGUGAUGUGUAUGCAUAUUAAUUUUCAUUAUUCACGAUUUUCUCAAUCUUGAUCGCGAAUUAAUUAAUGGAAUAGAUCCCAAUAUAACGAUAACGAUGAUUAUGUAAUUACAGGCGAUAGACUGAAGACGCGACGUCCUAAUUGAAAGGUUGUGCAAGAUGCGUACAAACUCGUCAACCUUUUCUUUGAUCGCAUAUUUUUAACAUGAUUACAAGACAAAGAUCGUGAAUUGCGACAAUGAUAUGUUUGUAGUUCCUUGAAUAUGGUGCAAAGAUUGAAGAAUGACGCUCCAUCAUUUUAUCGGAAGAAUUUCGUCUAAAGCUUAAAGACGCAUGAAAAGAAGACGGCAUAUGAAAAUAUUUGAAUACUCGUAGAUAUCUGUCAUGAAUAUGUUAUGUAUGGUAUAUUUUAUUGAGUAGUUUGCGAUUAUGGAAAAACUACGUUCAAUAAGAAUUGAAUUAUAAUCAAUUUGAAAAAAACUUUACACGAACAAGAUGAAACAUCUACGAUCUCGAGCCUAUAUGCGACGCAUAUUCCAGCGUAAUUAUAAUAAAAUUAUCGUAUAAAAAGACCAAGAGAACGUAUUAAAAAGCGAUUGUUCAAACAUUUUGUAUGUGUGUUAUGAUAAAAGAGUAUUUUAUCUUCACGAAUAAUCAAAUAACUUGAUAAGUACAUUACAUUAUUAUGCGGAAUGCUGUGUAAAAUACGCAUAAAAAUCUCUUUUCUAUACUGUUUAAAAUCAUCGACAUCAGGUACAAAGUUCAAGAAAUUUGUCUUUUGUUGAAACAUAUUCCUUAUCGAUUCUUUUCUCAUCAACGUUAUCGAAUAUCGUAAUCCUGCAAUUAACCACAUGAAUUUCAAGAAAGCACGUGUUAGUGCAAGAAGCAAAUACGAUUUAUCGAGAUAUCCAUUUCUUUCGAAACUCUACAUUUUACUACAGAUAUAGCACCAAAAUUUCGUUUUCAGAUAUGACUAACGCGAUAAUAUUGGUAGAGAGGUACCUUUAUCAGAGAUACUACAAGUUUAGCUCAAUGGAAAAUGUAUCUUGUCCUUGAUGAACUUUCCAUUUACGAUAUAUGCCUAUCUUUUACCAAAAGAAGAAAGAUGGAUUAGUUAAGUACAAAGUGUACAGAUAUCGUCAGACGACAGUGCUUUUUUUUUAUAUAAAAAAACUAUUACUCGUGUGGAAGUAAUUAGUAAUGUUAUCUAAUAAAUAAUUCGGAUGACUUGAAACAAACGAUAAAUGCUUUCGCCGUAUCUUGAAAGUUCCCUUUUUAUGCAAAUAUCAAAUAAAUUCUCUUUUCGUUGA